rnacentral:rRNA from 1 species
AGAGUUUGAUCAUGGCUCAGAACGAACGCUGGCGGCAGGGCUUAACACAUGCAAGUCGAACGCUCGUAGCAAUACGGGAGUGGCGGACGGGUGAGUAACGCGUGGGAACGUGCCCUGAGGUACGGAAUAACUGAGGGAAACUUCAGCUAAUACCGUAUGAGCCCGAGAGGGGGAAAGAUUUAUCGCCUUGGGAGCGGCCCGCGUCGGAUUAGCUAGUUGGUGGGGUAACGGCCUACCAAGGCUUCGAUCCGUAGCUGGUCUGAGAGGACGAUCAGCCACACUGGGACUGAGACACGGCCCAGACUCCUACGGGAGGCAGCAGUGGGGAAUCUUGCGCAAGUGGGGCAACCCUGACGCAGCCAUGCCGCGUGAACGAUGAAGGCCUUAGGGUUGUAAAGUUCUUUACCCGUGACGAUGAUGACGGUAACGGGGAAUAAGCUCCGGCUAACUUCGUG